CUGAGGGGAUAAUCUGCAUGAAUAAAGGUGAAAAGGCAGAUAAUAUCAUCAUGGUCCAACAUUCUUUUGAGAAAUUUAAAUGAAAGAAACUGACAAUAUUGUCAAGAUCUUAUUUAUUUAAUUGAGAGAAAGAAAGAGCAUAAGAGCGAGGAGGGUGAGAGGGAGAAGCAGACUCCCCACCAAGCAGGGAUCCCGAUGCAGAACUUGAUCCCAGGACUCCAGGAUCAUGACCUGGGCUGAAGGCAGUUGCUUAACCAAGACCUUCUUGCAAUGAGGAGUAUCUUGGAACAACCUAGACUUUAAAGGGCUGCAGGGGAUAUCUGAGCCUUGGACCCACAUUCUGACCUGGAAACCACCAUACAUUGUAGUGCACGCCAAGUUUUAACUUUGAUCAAGGAUUUAUAAAAGCCCCAGGCUUGUUAGGUUUUACAAUUCAUAUAUGUGGUAAUGGGUAAAGUAAAAAAUGAAAACUUUCAUGCCCUCUUUGUAGGAGAGAUGAUGAAGACAGCUGUGGCUGACUAUGCCCGUGAUGGUACUUUCACAAAGAACUCCAUAAGACAGUGAAAUUUACUGCACUGGCAUAAAAUUGUGCCACCCGUCAUUAUUAGAAUGAGAGAAUGAACAUUUCAAAACUGAUAACAAUAAAAACUACAGGAUAAAUAAAAUUGAUAGGGCCUUUGUUUUAUGGUACAGGUAAAAGACAAGCCAAACACCAUUUCAGACAUUACUGUUUUAGAGGAACAUGGAAGCAUGCUGUCAAAAUUUUACCAGUGAGUCAUUGCUUAUACAUUUCAGUGGCAUGUAGUCUUUGUUGACCAUGAAUAGCAUAUCAGUUUCAAUUUUUAAAAAUAUUCUAGAAUUUGCAAUGCUAUUAAUUUCGUAUUAGUAAGGCUGACUAAGGAGCAAAGAUGUCUUCCAUUGCAUUUUGCAAUUUCUGAUAAUUUGAUAAAGGGCGAGUUUUUAUUUUUAUUUUCUUUCCAAUAAUUAUUAGUGGUCUGUGAAAACUUUAUCCAAAGUAGUUUUCAAUGUAUGUUCCAUAGUUUUCUUAGAUGCUAGCAAAGAAAAAAAAAAAAAAAAAGAAAUGUCACUGCAAUAGUAUCAUAGUCUGACUUGAAGCAUCUAAAAUUGUGGUGGCACUGAGCUGCAACUUAGGGGUAAUUUCAAGGCAAUUUCUUUUAAUAUUAUGUUAUGAAGACUCUAUACAAAUCUUUGAUUUUUUUAAUGGAAUGUUGCUUUAUAUUCCUUUGGGCAAAAUGCCACUUAAAUUUGACUUAGUUACUGCAACCUCAAAAUUAUGUAAAAUAUGCAUGUAUGUUGACUUUUAAAAAUUAUAAUAAUAAAAAUUUGCCUCCAAUUCUCUAAAAACAAUUAACUGUUAUUUUAGAACUAUGUUCCUCCAAAAACCCCAAUUCUGCCACCAUAGAAGGAACUGGUAACAUCAGUAGAAUUAUAGAACAAGUCUCUGAAUCAAAGACAAAUAAUCUCUGAUUCUAUUGAAUAAUUUCUUCUCAUGGUACCAUCUCGCCAACAAAGUCAAGUUUGCAACUCCCAUCACCUGACAGAAAAAAAAGAAAGAUAAAAAAUGCCAAACUGCUCUACAGUCUCUCCACAGAAAGCAAAAAGUGGAGAGGCACAAAUCUAUUUUAAAGGUCACCUUCUGUUUGCAUACAAGUUCUAUAUUUCCUGUGGUAAAUCCACUUUUCUUCUUUAACUCCCGACGCUGGCUCUACCAGUGAGGAAGAGUAGGAAGCCACACAGUAGAAGGGUGAGAAAGACUGGAUAAGGAAACUAUGGGAACUAUGGAGUUAAAGAGUCAAAUAAAUAAAUAAGACAACUAGCCCCAGCUGACUUAUAUGCUUAUGUAGUUAGAUGUGAACAGAUGAUUUUUAAGCUGUAAUCAAAUACUUAUUGUUUUAUUUCCAAUCAAUUUUAAAGAAAUGACCAGGAUGGGGGCACCUGGGUGGCACAGUCAUUAAGCAUCUGACUUCCAUUCAGGUCAGGAUCCCAGGGUUCUGGGAUCUCUGCAGCCUGGCUCCCUGCUCAGCAGGGAACCUGCUUCUCCUUCUGCCUGCUUCUUCCCCUACUUGUGCUAUCUCUCUCUGUCAAAUAAAUAAAUAAAAUCUUUAAAAAAAAAAAAAAAGGA